GCCUCUAUAGCUCAGUGGUAGAGCACUGGUCUCGUAAACCAGGGGUCGUGAGUUCAAUCCUCACUUGGGGCA
rnacentral:tRNA from 1 species